GACGAACGCUGGCGGCGUGCUUAACACAUGCAAGUCGAACGGAAAGGCCCUGCUUUUGUGGGGUGCUCGAGUGGCGAACGGGUGAGUAACACGUGAGUAACCUGCCCUUGACUUUGGGAUAACUUCAGGAAACUGGGGCUAAUACCGGAUAGGAGCUCCUGCUGCAUGGUGGGGGUUGGAAAGUUUCGGCGGUUGGGGAUGGACUCGCGGCUUAUCAGCUUGUUGGUGGGGUAGUGGCUUACCAAGGCUUUGACGGGUAGCCGGCCUGAGAGGGUGACCGGCCAAAUUGGGACUGAGAUACGGCCCAGACUCCUACGGGAGGCAGCAGUGGGGAAUAUUGCACAAUGGGCGGAAGCCUGAUGCAGCAACGCCGCGUGCGGGAUGACGGCCUGCGGGUUGUAAACCGCUUUCGCCUGUGACGAAGCGUGAGUGACGGUAAUGGGUAAAGAAGCACCGGCUAACUACGUG
rnacentral:rRNA from 1 species